UGGGGAAUUUUGGACAAUGGGCGAAAGCCUGAUCCAGCAAUGCCGCGUGUGUGAAGAAGGCCUUCGGGUUGUAAAGCACUUUUGUCCGGAAAGAAAUGGCUCUGGUUAAUACCUGGGGUCGAUGACGGUACCGGAAGAAUAAGGACCGGCUAACUACGUGCCAGCAGCCGCGGUAAUACGUAGGGUCCAAGCGUUAAUCGGAAUUACUGGGCGUAAAGCGUGCGCAGGCGGUUGUGCAAGACCGAUGUGAAAUCCCCGAGCUUAACUUGGGAAUUGCAUUGGUGACUGCACGGCUAGAGUGUGUCAGAGGGGGGUUAGAAUUCCACGUGUAGCAGUGAAANUGCGUAGAGAUGUGGAGGAAUACCGAUGGCGAAGGCAGCCCCCUGGGAUAACACUGACGCUCAUGCACGAAAGGUGGGGAGCAAACAGGAUUAGAUACCCUGGUAGUCCACGCCCUAAACGAUGUCAACUAGUUGUUGGGGAUUCAUUUCCUUAGUAACGUAGCUAACGCGUGAAG
rnacentral:rRNA from 1 species